CAGGGUUAACAUCAGAUUAUCAGAGACCCAUCCUCCGAUCCACACAAAGGCUCGAGGAUAGAUCGAAUAACACACCACUCCGAUCCCCCGGCCGCACGCAUCCUAGCUUGUUCUUGAUCUAUAGCUACAAAAGGCUUGUGCUUCUCCCGAAGCUCUCGCACUACUCUCUGAUCUUGUGUGUAUAUGCCAUCAUGCGACAAGGAACGAACUUCGGUCCUGUCUACGUCUUCAUUGCUGUUCUGGGAUCCAUAACGGUGCUCAUUUUCGCGUACCUGGUCCUCGUAGGGGCGCCCGAGCCGAGCAUCUUCGACGUUUGGGUGGAGAAUGGAACCCUCCACGCCAUGGAAAUGGACUCCUCCAGCAACUCCACCCUGACAUACAGCCUCUCCGCUGUAUACGGCCUUCGCAACAAAAACUACGAGCGUGACACCGUCAGCGUCGCCAAGCUUGCCGUGGCGCCCAUGUACGGCGGGCAGCAGCUGGGGCCGGGAUCCAGCCUGCCGGCGUUCCAGCUGCGGUAUUUGGAGACGGCGACGGUUCCCCUCGACGCGCGCGGCCAGCUGCCCGCCGCUGCAGGCGCGGUGGUCACCAGGACGUACGCGGACGACGCCGCGCGGGGCUACUACGCCAUACAGGUGAAGCUAAGCCUGGCUUUGGGAGGAGGACUCCAUUGGUGCCACUCCUCCUGCACCCUCUAUUUCUUCGCGCCGCUGCCGUCGUCGUCCCCAAGAAGAGGCGCCCCCAACAUCUUCGAUGGCGACGACUGUUGGACUACAUGUAAGAAAAGUGUGUUGCAUGACGAGAAACCGGACAAAGCUAUGCAGAUUAAGGAACAAUAAUGAUGUAUCCUCCCAUCGAAUAAUAUUGCAGUUAAAGCUCAAAUCAUCUCUUUGAUUUUCCUUUGCCGUUAUGAUGCGCGCAAUUAACAGUACUACACGUACUACUACUAUGUAAUGGUAAGAAUGUUGUGGGGCAACAUUCUGCAACAGCCCAUUCUUUGAAGCCGCAAAAAUCUAUAAAUGGU
rnacentral:misc_RNA from 1 species